rnacentral:misc_RNA from 1 species
GAUGAAGAACGUAGCGAAAUGCGAUAAGUAAUGUGAAUUGCAGAAUUCCGUGAAUCAUCGAAUCUUUGAACGCACAUUGCGCCCUCUGGUAUUCCGGGGGGCAUGCCUGUCCGAGCGUCAUUGCUGCCCUCAAGCACGGCUUGUGUGUUGGGCCCCGUCCUCCGAUUCCGGGGGACGGGCCCGAAAGGCAGCGGCGGCACCGCGUCCGGUCCUCGAGCGUAUGGGGCUUUGUCACCCGCUCUGUAGGCCCGGCCGGCGCUUGCCGAUCAACCCAAAUUUUUAUCCAGGUUGACCUCGGAUCAGGUAGGGAUACCCGCUGAACUUAAGCAUAUCAAUAAGCGGAGGA